rnacentral:misc_RNA from 1 species
GAUGAAGAACGUAGCGAAAUGCGAUAAGUAGUGUGAAUUGCAGAAUUCAGUGAAUCAUCGAAUCUUUGAACGCACAUUGCGCCCCUUGGUAUUUCAUGGGGCAUGCCUGUUCGAGCGUCAUCUACAACCCUCAAGCCCUGCUUGGUGUUGGGCGUCUGUCCCGCCCCCGCGCGCGGACUCGCCCCAAAUCCAUUGGCGGCGGCCCUUGCCUCCCUCUCGCGCAGCACAUUGCGCUUCUCGAGGCGUCGCGGGCCGCGCUCCACGAAGCACGCAAACCAGUCUUUGACCUCGGAUCAGGUAGGGAUACCCGCUGAACUUAAGCAUAUCAAGAAGCGGAGGA